GUGCGGUGCGGGGUAGAUAGAGUAGAGUAGUUUCGAGAGUAGAUAGACAGAGUAGAUCGAUCGCGCGUCGCCGUGGACUCGCGGGGUUGGUGGUGGUGCCAUCCUCGUCCGUGUGACCGUGUCCGCUGUGUGCGCAGCACGGUGGCUGGCUGGCUGACUGGGUCUGCCUCCAUCUCCGGGCCUUUUUGUUCGCACCUGGAUUAUACUACUGCUAGCCCCCGACUUCCCUGGGAAAUGGAAAGUGUUCCUUCCUCGCCAGAGAUCUAGCGCCGGUGGUACUACCUUCUCGGCUUCUUUAUUUUUAUAGCCUCAGCUCCCUACUAGGAGUUUGUUUCCCCUGACCAUUAAUUUGACCAGAAUUGUCCGUGCCCCCUAAAUCUCGCAGCAGCACAAAUUGGGCUCGCAUUUUAUUUUGACACCAAACGGCUGCUAAAAACACUAGUAGCAUACUGCCCCAAGAAGGACAGAGAGGGAGGGAGAGCUCAACGCUUAUCCUCCUCCAGCGACCCGGCUAGCCAAGAAAGUCCAGGGGAAGAGACAGAAAAGAAGAACAAGAAAGCAGUGGGAAAAAGAGGCCGGGCUCCUCGAACCUCUCACUAUUUCUCCCGUGGCUUCCUUGUCUGCCUGCCUACGCCUUCCCUUGCCUUCGGGGUUGGUGAGCGAGCUCGGGAUCAGUUGGCGACUACACACCCAGAGUUCCAGGUUCUCGGAGGAGGGGGGGAAACCAUGGGCAGCUUCGCCAAGCUGGCCAAGAGGUGCGUGGAGACGGAGGCGCCGGUCAUGGUGAAGAUACAAGAGCUGCUUCGAGGGGCCACGGAUGUGAUGUCGCUUGCGCAGGGAAUUGUUUAUUGGCAACCUCCUGAGACAGCCCUGAACAAGGUCAAGGAAAUUGUAUGGGAACCAGCAACCAGUAAAUAUGGUGCUGAUGAUGGCCUUCCCGAGCUUCGAGAAGCACUUCUCGAGAAGCUUCGCAGAGAGAAUAAGCUAACCAAGUCAUCUGUUAUGGUGACCGCUGGUGCAAAUCAGGCUUUUGUAAACCUGGUUCUGACCCUUUGCGAUGCUGGUGAUUCAGUUGUCAUGUUCGCACCAUACUAUUUCAAUUCCUUCAUGUCAUUCCAGAUGACUGGCGUCACUGAUAUAUUAGUUGGUGCUAGCAAUCCCAAGACUCUUCAUCCUGAUGUUGAUUGGUUGGAGAAGGUGCUGAAAGAAAAUAACCCUAUCCCUAAACUUGUUACUGUUGUCAAUCCGGGAAACCCAUCUGGAGCUUUUAUUCCCAAGCCUAUGCUACAGAGAAUUUCAGACCUGUGCAGGAAUGCUGGUGCAUGGCUGGUGGUUGACAACACCUAUGAGUACUUCAUGUAUGAUAAAAUGGAGCACUACUGCCUAGAGGAUGAUCAUAUUGUCAACCUUUUCUCGUUCUCAAAGGCUUAUGGCAUGAUGGGGUGGCGAGUAGGAUACAUUGCAUAUCCAAGUGAAGCCGAUGGUUUCCACGCGCAGCUCCUUAAGGUGCAAGAUAACAUACCUAUCUGUGCUUCCAUCAUCGGGCAGCGCCUGGCUCUAUACUCAUUGGAGGCCGGCCCAGAGUGGAUCAGGGAAAGGGUGAAUGAUCUCGUGAAAAACCGCGAGCUGCUUGUGGAAGCAAUGUCUCCCCUUGGUGAGGAUGCUGUCAAGGGUGGGGAGGGUGCCAUCUAUCUCUGGGCUAAACUACCAGAUAACUGUUCAGACGACUUUGAGGUUGUCAGGUGGCUCGCGACCAAGCACGGCGUCGCAGUGAUCCCCGGGAGCGCCAGCGGAGGCCCCGGAUACAUCCGUGUUUCUUUUGGAGGACUGAAAGAAGAAGACACAAGGCUCGCCGGCGAGAGGCUAAGGCGGGGAUUGCAAGAGCUGGUGACCGAUGGGAUGGUACAGUAACAACAGCCCACCGUAUGUAAGACAGUAAGAGUACAUUUCUACAUUCAGAUCACACAAGUCCGAUUUUUUCGACGAUAUGAUUCUGCUGGGAUUAGUUCAUUCAGAGGAGCAAAAGCACCAUAUAUCCAAGUCUUUUGUAUCUUACAGAAUCACCAUGCUGGAGGUGCCCAAUAGGAAUGGCAAUUGGUGUAGUGAGAAUUGGGGCAAAAUAAAAAGCCAUCCAGCCCCGUGGUGUCGUAAUUCUCUGUUCGGUACUUCCUGCUGUUUAAUUUACCCUCCC
rnacentral:rRNA from 1 species